rnacentral:misc_RNA from 1 species
UACGUAGGGGCCAAGCGUUAAUCGGAAUUACUGGGCGUAAAGUGCGCGUAGGUGGUUUGGUAAGUCGGGUGUGAAAGCCCCGGGCUCAACCUGGGAAUUGCAUUCGAUACUGCCAGACUAGAGUAUGGUAGAGGGAAGUGGAAUUCCGCAUGUAGCGGUGAAAUGCAUAGAGAUGCGGAGGAACACCAGUGGCGAAGGCGACUUCCUGGACCAAUACUGACACUGAGGUGCGAAAGCGUGGGGAGCAAACAGG